rnacentral:rRNA from 1 species
GACGAACGCUGGCGGCGUGCUUAACACAUGCAAGUCGAACGGAAAGGCCCUGCUUUUGUGGGGUGCUCGAGUGGCGAACGGGUGAGUAACACGUGAGUAACCUGCCCUUGACUUUGGGAUAACUUCAGGAAACUGGGGCUAAUACCGGAUAGGAGCUCCUGCUGCAUGGUGGGGGUUGGAAAGUUUCGGCGGUUGGGGAUGGACUCGCGGCUUAUCAGCUUGUUGGUGGGGUAGUGGCUUACCAAGGCUUUGACGGGUAGCCGGCCUGAGAGGGUGACCGGCCACAUUGGGACUGAGAUACGGCCCAGACUCCUACGGGAGGCAGCAGUGGGGAAUAUUGCACAAUGGGCGGAAACCUGAUGCAGCAACGCCGCGUGCGGGAUGACGGCCUUCGGGUUGUAAACCGCUUUCGCCUGUGACGAAGCGUGAGUGACGGUAGUGGGUAAAGAAGCACCGGCUAACUACGUG